UACGGGGGGGGCAAGCGUUGUUCGGAAUUACUGGGCGUAAAGGGCUCGUAGGCGGCCAACUAAGUCAGACGUGAAAUCCCUCGGCUCAAACCGAGGGAAUGGCGCUUGAUACUGCAAGGCUUGAGGGAGAUCAGGGGUAAGCGGAACUGAUGGUGGAGCGGUGAAAUGCGUUGAUAUCGGAAGGAACGCCGGUGGCGAAAGCGAAGCGGACUGGAUCUCUUCGACGCUGAGGCGCGAAGC
rnacentral:rRNA from 1 species